rnacentral:rRNA from 1 species
UCCAAUUUGAUGCCGAAGUCUGUGGAGAGGGGGCCGAGAAAAGCCGGUUGGUGACGACACCGUUGUCCGUACUAAAACUGACACAGGUAGGCGAGGAGAGUAUCCUCAGGCGCUCGAGAGAACUGCGGUUAAGGAACUAGGCAAUCUAACCCCUUAACUUCGGGAUAAGGGGUCCCUACUCAUUUAUGAGAGGGCGCAGGAAGCGGAUCUGGCGACUGUUUAUCAAAAACACAGCUCCGUGCUAAGACGCAAGUCGAUGUAUACGGAGUGACGCCUGCUCGGUGCCGGAAUGUCAAGGAAGUCGGUCAGGGGUUCGCCCCGAAGCUGGCGACCGAAGCACCGGUAAACGGCGGCCGUAACUAUGACGGUCCUAAGGUAGCGAAGUUCCUUGUCGGGUAAGUUCCGACGCGCAUGAACGGCGUAACGACUGGAUCGCUGUCUCAACCGCAGACUCGGUGAAAUUGAAGUGGCGGUGAGAUACCGUCUACCCGCAGCAAGACGGAAAGACCCCGUGGACCUUUACUGUAGCCUGGUAGUGACGCCGGGUGUGGACUGCGUAGGAUAGGUGGGAGGCGUCGAUCCCUUGGUCCUGGCCAAGGGGGAGUCAACGGUGAAAUACCACCCUGUUUGCAUUCGUCGUCUCACCCCAUUCCGUGAAACCGGAUGGGGAACCCUGCUAGGUGGUCAGUUUGACUGGGGCGGUCUCCUCCAAAAGAGUAACGGAGGAGUGCAAAGGCGGGCUCAGACCGGUUGGCAAUCGGUCGUCGAGCGCAUAGGUAGAAGCCCGCUUGACUGCGAGUGCUACGGCACGAGCAGAGCUGAAAGGCGGCCUAAGUGAUCCUGUGGUUGCGUGUGGAAGCGCCAUAGCUCAACGGAUAAAAGGUACCCCGGGGAUAACAGGCUGAUCGCACCCGAGCGUCCAUAGCGGCGGUGCGGUUUGGCACCUCGAUGUCGGCCCAUCACAUCCUGGGGCUGAAGGCGGUCCCAAGGGUUUGGCUGUUCGCCAAUUAAAGUGGUACGCGAGCUGGGUUCAGACCGGCGUGAGCCAGGUCGGUCCCUAUCUGCUGUGGGCGUAGGAAUUUUGAAGGCACCUCUUCCCUAGUACGAGAGGAUUGGGAAGGACGGACCCCUGGUGUACCGGUUGUCCUGCUAAGGGCACGGCCGGGUAGCUAUGUCCGGAACGGAUAAACGCUGAAAGCAUCUAAGCGUGAAGCCUAUGCCAAGACGAGAAUUCCAUGGGAGCUUGCUCCCGAGAGACCCCGGGUAGACCACCCGGUUGAUAGGCCGUAGCUGUAAAGCCCGAGAGGGCAAAGGUUACCGGUACUAACGGUCGAGCACUUGACCAC